AGAGUAGAGAGCAUAUCAUUCGUUCUAAAAGUGGCGAUGUAGACGGACGCACGGACGAGAUAUUUGUGUGAUAGUGAAAUGAAAUUGCAGCAAAUGCACAUAAAAGUCAAUAACAGUUUCGGUUGAGGCGAAAAUAAAACUGUGCCAAACAGAUUAGUAAAUUAGAGAAAUGCAAAUAGUUUUCGGUUUUAGAUGGUCACCGCGGUUCGCGCUCUAGCCGGCUGAAGUAUGCUAAGUAAUUGUGGUUCGGAGGGUUUCCUUUUGCUGAGGAUGAAUUUUCAAUUUGUCCGUGAAUCAACAAAACAGAGAAUGUUUCCACUGGUCCAACACGUGGAGGAGGUAAAAUGGCGGAGGAAAAUAUGCGUUUGCAACAGAGAUGGGUCGUGUGGAAGCUAGUACACUCAGCGGUAUAGCGUAUAACUUCGACCUGAACGAUGGAUCCUGUCGAUCAACAUGGGUCCCCAAAUAAGAUAACUUUAACCUCUCAUUAGAAUGGUUCCUGUGGUGGACGGCCCAACAAGUGUAUGAAGGAAAAUGGCGGAGAACAGUAUGCGUCUGCAACUGAAAAGUUGUGAUAGCACAUUCACAUUGAACAGCUUAGUGGAGAACCGGCCUGAACGAUGAACCUUGUCGGUCACCAUUACAACCCCCCUCACACAAAUAAGGUAAACGACAUGGCUUCCGGUAAAUGUUGAAAUAUGAUGUUCAAUAUUGUUUCAAAAAAUGAGGAAAGAAAGCAGUUCGAGUAGGGGGACUACAUACGGAAAUGAGAUCUCAACAAUCGUAGUACGAAUAAGAUUAGGAUUUCGUUCGAGUACUUGCUUGGAGUCAUUUGACUUCCAAUUUUUGAAAUUGAUUAUAUUAGUUAUUUAGUACACAUAACAAUGAUAGGUCUUUAGAUCUUUAGGAAAUAAGUUAUAUUAGCUGAAAUUUUCACAUACCAAUUGACCAUUGACCGUCUCUAUUACCAGGUUUAUCAUUUCAAAUAGUCGCUGCCGUUUGAAUAAGCAACAAUUAGAGAUUUAUUGCAAAUUAUUGCACAUAAAAAUCGUGGUGGUAGCUUUCCAUGGUUAAAAAAGUCAAUUACACAAUCAAUAUUCGGUUAUUAGGUUUGGUGCAGAAUAUUAUAAUAUUUUAAACAUUUUGUACUCGUCGUUUGGGAUUCGGUCAAAAUUACGACAGCAGUUAUCUUGAAUGUAGCAAACUUUCAACGGUUGUUUUCACGUACUAGCUCUUCCAACUUGGAGCAUUUCGAAAAAGGGACAUAACAAAUUCAUCCGUGAUUAUUGACGUUUCAAAUGGCAUGGUCGUUCGAGAUGAUGCUGCGUAGUUCGAAGUGGACAUGAUCGUUGAUUUUCAUUAUUUGGUUUAUACUGUCUCUGGGAUCAGCCACAUACAUUGCCUGAUAAGGACAAUACGGCUCUCAUGUUUAGUUUUCACUUGGUAGAACAUUUCUCAUAUGUCCCCUGCUACUGCUUAAUUCCCUUCUCGGAAUUUUAUGUACUCCUGGGGUCCAGUUAAAACUUCUGUAUUCAAAGAAACACUUGGAUUUAGGAGAUUGGAUUUAGCAUCGAAGACUAAAGAAGGUUAUUUCCUUCUGCGAAGUGGGGUGAAUAAUAUGUUGAAUCGGAUGUCUGAGUUGUUUCCUCGUAUCUAAGUACAGUAGAACCCCGAUUCUCCGCGGAAAAGUCAGGCUAGCUUAUCGUGAAUAACGAAAAUCGCGGAUAACGCUAUAAAGGACUAAAAAAGAGUUUCAAACAAAAAAAAAUAUUUCAGCAUGGAAACUAUGUUUUAUCAACACAGAACUCAUUAAACUAUCCAUUUACCAGGUCGUUUACACUCGUGGUCAAAUAAUGUGAAUGCCAUGACCAAAACAAAAGUGCAUGAGCCUAUCAUUCGCUGUCAAAUUCGAGGAAGCUCUAUAGAUUUACUACGAAGCUUGCUUUCGCGGAUUAUCGGGGUUCCACUGUAUUCUGCAUACUCUUUGUUCAGGUGAUUUUGUAUCUUAUCAUUUUACCAUUUGGCGAACUUUUGUACCUUUUUCAUUUUGGCCCUCAUCGUCUAUGAGAGAGAUCUCUUCUGUAAUCGUAGUUAAUUUUUUGCCAAAUUCUUUCAUGGAGAAAAAAAUUAUACUUAUGCUUGCUCGUGGAAGGUUUAUGGUCUUAGGGGCCUUGACUAUUGACGAUCUGCACUAUGUGUGCGAUUUCGAGUAAUCAUACUACAAAGAUUGUCGUUAAUAUUUUUGGUGCAAUCGAAUUAUUGCAACUUAUCUUGUGUCUCAGUACAUUCUUAUAGCAUUUGAGGGUACCGCGACUAAAAAUGUGCUUUACUGUCCAACGACUUUGUUUUCUAUUAUAAAUCAUCUUCGAACCCCAGUUACGGAGGUGUAUCUUGCCAGAUCUUUCUCCCCAGUCAGUGCACAUCGUGACGUAUACGUAAACUAUCACAGGUCGCCGUACACUAAUUCACUGUUGUUCGCGCUCUGCCUGGUCCUCCAGGCAGAGUGUCAAUGGUCAAAUAAUAAGCGGGGAUUAGAACUAUUUAAUAAGUUUUAUUUUAACCAUUUUAUUAACAGUUGCUGUUUAACUUGAACUUCACGAACAUACUGACUGUACUCAUCAUACUCGACUCAACUUUUACUGCCUCUGGCUUCUAAGUCGAAGUAUCUCUAUAUAUAAUAGUUUUUGUUUAUAGUUCCUUAAGAAUGCAUUGGAAGAAACCAAGUCAUAGAGAAAUUGCCAAUCAAUCGAAUGCAGUGUUCGAUGGGAUUGGGGUCGAGAAUAAAAAUGCUUACUGCGCUCGUAAGCGCGCAUAUCGGUUUCAUGGGAAACCUCAUCGCGUAUUUCAACGGAAUAGAAUUAGGUCUUGUUUUGAUUUUAGUUUAUUGCCUCUAGCUGCGCACGACAUGAUGUAAGAAUGCAUUCAUAUCGUUAGCGCGCGUUGCUAGUUUUUAUGGCUGAGUGUGGGGGAAAGGCAAUUAACGAAAUUAUGCAGUUGCGCUUGGAGAAUGUUUCAUGGGAAUCGUAAAUCGAAGUAUAUGCGCAUGAGUCAUUAAGAAACAUUAUGAAACUGCUUAUGAGGAUGGGUUUUGGAGAUGGAUUUAAAAUGGUUCAUGGAAUGAUAUAUGGAAUAUGAAAUAUGAAAUAUGGGAUUUAAUAUGAGAUUUGGAAAUGGGGUUUGGAAAUCAUACUACACCAUCCCUCUUCGGGAGAAUGAUGUAAUAAAAUGAAAUCAUUCUUAGUAUUCAAAUUAUGGAUUGAUUAUUCCUUGGCUUCUUUCAAUGUUACAAAUAUUGUAUAGACUUUAUAUAGGUUUAUAAAAUUAUAUUUUCCAAAACUGUUGGUAUAUUGUAACAAUGGUCUGCGGUUUCAAUAACUUAUUUACUAACUUUUGAUAGGUUUUUGAGAAUUAUCUUGUUGAAUUUUGAUUAGUCUGUUUUUGUGAACUAUCAUUGAAUGAUUUGUUCUCGGGUUUUUUAUUUUACAGUUUGGAUCUAACAAUUCUUCUACUA